rnacentral:ncRNA from 1 species
UGAUAGAGGUGCGAAUGUCAAAAGUACUUCUCUCGAAAGGGAUAGGAACCGGAGAGAGGGAAAGGGGCCUUCGCCGAGGUUUUGGAGCGGUCCUGAACGCCCCGAAGCCGGGCUGUGGGAUAACAUCCCGCAGACUGUCGUCCCCAGAGGGACGGAGCGCUGUCGU